GUCUUCUUUAUUAUUACAGAUUAGUCUCCUCGAAGUCAAUGCAAAGACAAAAAUGUGAGUGCUCUUUUUUGGAGAGAAUCCCAAUCAAAUCAGUAAGGAGGUAGAAAGGGGACAGGAGGGAACAGGAACGAAUAAAGCAUGGAUUUCCUAACACGUUAGCAUUGAGACGAACUGGAGGUGAUUCAAAAAAAAAUAAAAAAAGCAAACAAACCAAGAGCCUUUCCAUGGCUCUCUUUCUACCUUCAAAUAUAGAUCAAAUGCCUCUCCUCGGCAUAUGCAGGCAUCACAAUCUGCCACUGCCUCCAUUCCCUUCCACAUCCAGUGCAGGAUGCCCAUGGUCGGUAGAAGCCCAGAUGCAGGAGACCACGUCCAGGUUCCUCUCUAACCAGGCUGCUUUUCCAAGGCCUCAUAUCAUUCAGACUGUUGCAUCUGCUUCGGCAGAGAAUAGACAAGGCUCGGCUCAGUAGAUGUCUCAUCUGUAAUGCUUUUUGGCAUCUGAGAGGUAAAAUUUCAGAGAUCCUAGAGCUGUCUACUUGAGGAGCUAUAAUACUUUUCUAUUUACUUCUCUGUCUCUCCCACUAGACAGCAACUCUUGCAGUGGAGGGCCAGAGUGGGCGCCUGUUAUCUAUGGCACGUGUCCAUGCCUGAUGUUUGUGAGCACUAGAAGAUGUGGCCUACAGAGUGCAGAAGAGACAGUGUGAUUUUAUUUGAUCUUAAAGCUUCCAAAAGGAGAUCUGAUUGGAGAAAUUACUGCUUAGAAGAGCAACGACAGGCAAAUUAUGUUACUUGCACACAUCUUCACAUGCUAUUUCAUGCCCUUAGCCAAGAGCUGAAAGGCAUGUUGGCUCUGAUAACAGGAGUCCAGGUGAUCGAUGAGCCCUGGAGGUGUCAAAUGGUAGCCGCAACAUGCCAGGGGGCUCCAGUUGGUCUGCAGGCUGAGAACAGAAAUGCUCUACUUUCUCCACUUAGCAGUUCACUGGCUGAAGAAAGGUGUUACCCUAGGCAGAAGAAGAGAAAUAGUCAACUUAAUGCUCUACCAAUGACUCUUCACCUUCCAGCAAAACAUUACAAACCCGUGGCAGGUCCAAGUAAAAACAUCCUGGGCAAAAACAUCCUAAUCACCUGCUCGCUAGGCAAGUGCACGUGAAUUGUACCAACAGCUUCCAGAAGUUGACCAGGACACUGAACCUUACUUUCCAGCUCACAGAUGGGCUGUGACUUUGGCUGUGAGUAAUCAGGUUACAAGAAGGCACUAAAUCUUCAUGAGGGUAUGGCUCCUUGUCAAAACAAAACAUAUAAUCUAAGGUUUCAGCAGAAGAUAUUUUUGGAAAGGAAAAUACAAGUGAAAAUAAAAUGGUCUUGUUGCAAGAAUUAAAGUCUAAU
rnacentral:lncRNA from 12 species